rnacentral:rRNA from 1 species
UAAUUGCGCGUCAACUUGUGAACUGCAGGACACAUGAACAUCGACAUUUCGAACGCACAUUGCGGUCCACGGAUACAAUUCCCGGACCACGUCUGGCUGAGGGUCGUUCAAUAAUAAACAACCAGACUGCUUGCCCUCGUUGGCAAGCGAAUGCCUGGGCGCAUCGUCGCGUUCACACUACUCUCUCGGCAAUCUAACGAUUGCCGAUGUGUGCGUGUGUUACUCGGCGUCGCUCUAAAUGAACGAACACUACGCGAGAGUACGAGGGGCAGACCGAGGAGCCGCCAAGGCCCAAAGUCCGGCGCUUGUGUCGUCGCGCGUCAGCUGUCUUUUGUGCUGCCAAAGCACAAUGCUGCAGACUGCUGCGACGGCGUAACGACGAACGACUAACCCAUUCGCUCGUCCGAGUCCCGGAGCUCUUGUGCGAGCGGACCGACUUGCGAAUUCGUCCGCGCUUUUUUCGAUAUUUUUCAUUAAGCAUGAGAAAUUCGAACACGUGACCUUUGGUGCUUUGCGCGCGCUUUACUCGCGCUUGUCUGUCGCUCGGUUAAAGUUCAGCGAGUGUUCACCAGUCGAAAGCAAUGCGCGUGAGCGCAUUGGCGUGCCUCCCGCGCACGCCUUUGAUAAUAAAAAAUCAAUUACAUUAACGACGACCUCAGAGCAGGCGAGAUUA